CUACGGGUUGCAGCAGUGGGGAAUCUUAGACAAUGGGGGAAACCCUGAUCUAGCCAUGCCGCGUGAGUGACGAAGGCCUUAGGGUCGUAAAGCUCUUUCGCUGGGGAAGAUAAUGACUGUACCCAGUAAAGAAACCCCGGCUAACUCCGUGCCAGCAGCCGCGGUAAUACGGAGGGGGUUAGCGUUGUUCGGAAUUACUGGGCGUAAAGCGCGCGUAGGCGGACUGGAAAGUUGGGGGUGAAAUCCCGGGGCUCAACCCCGGAACGGCCUCCAAAACUAUCAGUCUAGAGUUCGAGAGAGGUGAGUGGAAUUCCGAGUGUAGAGGUGAAAUUCGUAGAUAUUCGGAGGAACACCAGUGGCGAAGGCGGCUCACUGGCUCGAUACUGACGCUGAGGUGCGAAAGCGUGGGGAGCAAACAGGAUUAGAUACCCGGGUAGUC
rnacentral:rRNA from 1 species